rnacentral:rRNA from 1 species
AUAUCAAUAAGCGGAGGAAAAGAAACCAACAGGGAUUGCCCUAGUAACGGCGAGUGAAGCGGCAACAGCUCAAAUUUGAAAUCUGGCCCUCGUGGUCCGAGUUGUAAUUUGCAGAGGAUGCUUUGGGUGCGGCGCCUUCCAAGUUCCCUAGAACGGGACGCCUUAGAGGGUGAGAGCCCCGUACGGUUGGACGCCUAGCCUAUGUAUAGCUCCUUCGACGAGUCGAGUAGUUUGGGAAUGCUGCUCUAAAUGGGAGGUAAAUUUCUUCUAAAGCUAAAUACCGGCCAGAGACCGAUAGCGCACAAGUAGAGUGAUCGAAAGAUGAAAAGUACUUUGAAAAGAGGGUUAAAUAGCACGUGAAAUUGUUGAAAGGGAAGCGUUUGCGACCAGACCUUUUCCAGGCGGAUCAUCCGGCGUUCUCGCCGGUGCACUUCGCCUGGUUUAGGCCAGCAUCGGUUUUCCCAGGGGGAUAAAGGCGGCGGGAACGUGGCUCUCUCGGGAGUGUUAUAGCCCGCCGCGUAAUACCCUUGGGGGGACCGAGGACCGCGCUUCGGCAAGGAUGCUGGCGUAAUGGUCGUCAACGACCCGUCUUGAAACACGGACCAAGGAGUCGAACAUUUGUGCGAGUGUUUGGGUGUCAAACCCUCACGCGUAAUGAAAGUGAACGGAGGUGAGAGCCCCUCGCGGGUGCAUCAUCGACCGAUCCUGAUGUCUUCGGAUGGAUUUGAGUAAGAGCAUAACUGUUCGGACCCGAAAGAUGGUGAACUAUGCGUGGAUAGGGUGAAGCCAGAGGAAACUCUGGUGGAGGCUCGCAGCGGUUCUGACGUGCAAAUCGAUCGUCAAAUCUGCGCAUGGGGGCGAAAGACUUAUCGAACCAUCUAGUAGCUGGUUACCGC